rnacentral:rRNA from 23 species
CACCUCUAGCAUCACCAGUAUUAGAUCGCCUGUUUAUCAAAAACAUAGCCCCUUGAAUACAUAAAGGGUCCCGCCUGCCCAGUGGCCUAAGGCUAAACGGCCGCGGUAUCUUGACCGUGCAAAGGUAGCAUAAUCACUUGUCUUUUAAAUGGAGACUUGUAUGAACGGCGAAACCUUUUUCAACUGUCUCCCUCUCCACCCUCUCAAAUUUCUUCCUGUGUGAAGAAGCACAGAUAACACAGAAAGACGAGAAGACCCUGUCGAGCUUUAGCCACUAAGUGAACAACAGCCACGUAAUAUCACCAAAAGGCUUUGGUUGGGGCAACCACGGAGAAAAAAAAUCCUCCAGAACAAAUAGAAGAAAACCAUUCACUACUAUAUAUUAAAGAACCAGAAACUGGCAUUCGGAAAAAGUUACCGCAGGGAUAACAGCGUCAUCUCCUUUAAGAGUCCUUAUUGACGAGGAGGUUUGCGACCUCGAUGUUGGAUUGGGGCCCCCUUAGGGUGCAGAAGCUCUAAACGGUUAGACUGUUCGUCUAUUAAAGCCCUACGUGAUCUGAGUUCAGACCGGAGUUGUUCAACGAUUAAAGUCCU